UACGGAGGGGGCCAGCGUUGUUCGGAAUUAUUGGGCGUAAAGGGCGCGUAGGCGGCCAUGCGUGUCUUCCGUGAAAUCCCUCGGCUUAACUGAGGACGUGCGGAAGAAACUGCAAGGCUCGAGUCCGGGAGAGGGGGGUGGAAUUCCCAGUGUAGCGGUGAAAUGCGUAGAUAUUGGGAGGAACACCGGUGGCGAAGGCGGCCCCCUGGACCGGUACUGACGCUGAGGCGCGAAAGCCAGGGGAGCAAACGGG
rnacentral:rRNA from 1 species